GUGUUGUAUGAAAGGAGAGGUUAGCACUCCCCCUUGACAAGGAUGGAAGAGGCCUUGGGCCUAACAACACACAUACGGUUAAGGCAUUGCCUAUUACCUAUUUCGUGGCAUCUAACAAAAUAAAAGA
ensembl:snRNA Gm26473 predicted gene, 26473